CAUUUUAUGAUGAAAACAUGCGUGUCAACUGAUCCCAGAGUUUCUGUCUUGUGCCAGGCUCCUUGCUGAUGUUUUGUCACUAAGUGAUGCUGGUUACUGGAUGAUUCUGGGAACAUGAUCAUGCCUUGAAUUCUGAAAAUG